UACGUAGGGUGCAAGCGUUGUCCGGAAUUAUUGGGCGUAAAGAGCUCGUAGGCGGUCUGUCGCGUCUGCUGUGAAAACCCGCGGCUUAACCGCGGGCCUGCAGCUGAUACGGGCAGGCUAGAGUUCGGUAGGGGAGACUGGAAUUCCUGGUGUAGCGGUGAAAUGCGCAGAUAUCAGGAGGAACACCGGUGGCGAAGGCGGGUCUCUGGGCCGAUACUGACGCUGAGGAGCGAAAGCGUGGGGAGCGAACAGG
rnacentral:rRNA from 1 species